UAAACCUGAGAAACCCAAAAGAUCGAACGGGGAGAUUCAUCGUUGGCGUUAUUGGCUUCCUUGAGGCUCGCGAUGGUUCGGACUUCGGUCAUGGGCCACGUAGUCGCUAUGGUAUGUCCGGUAUCGUCGAUGUGCACUUCUCCCCUAGUAGGACGUCGCGACCCGUUGGGUGCUGGCCUACGGUCCGGUCGAAUGCCUGUCGUGAUUAGCGUUAAUAGCGCUUUCGCGGCAGACGAUUGGUUACCUGGCCGGCUGCCCGGCGGUAUAGAAAUAUCUAAAAACGGUAUUGAGCCGCAUUAAGUGCGUCAGGCUCGUCGGCAGGCUCGUCUCGCUCGGAUUUACGGACCCAGUACCGUUGCCGGGUGCUUGACGUGGCCGUUAGUCGACGAUGUCCUCGGACUGGCUUUAUACAUUCUU
rnacentral:rRNA from 1 species